GGGAGCUUUGGGGACGCACUUGUGGAUGCCUAGGCCUCUUCCGUUUGCCUCUGGGACUGGCGAUACUCGAGAUGUCUUGAGGCCUUCCAGACCUUGCUCCACCUCCACCACCAGGUCUCCAGUCCUGAGCCACAUGCUGCCAUUUUUGUCUCAGAAGCACCCCUCUUCCAGGUGGAAGAUUGAAGGUCUGAAGAGUGGGAAGACCCAGGAACAGGCAAGUCCAGGAAGAUAUGAGGAAAAUCAAGAAAGAGAAGGAAACUGAAGCUAGUGGGAAGUGCUUCAAGUUGGAGAUGAUGCUGAGAUGGCCAAAAAGUUUGGACCAGAAGGAAGACCA
rnacentral:lncRNA from 1 species